CGGUGAGCGCUCCGGAACAAGGAAGCGCUGCCGGCCUGGAAUCGCAACCCCUUUUUCACGGCGUUUUUGAGAGCUAGGAUGCUGCCAAGUUUUUCCACCUGUUCUUUCCUUCCCCAUCCAUGAGAAAGUCUCCCAGGAGAGGAAUUACCACGGUCCAGUGCAGCCACAAGCAGGUUAAAAAGAAGGAUCCCAGUCCUGCUGCUGAUGGGUCUCCAGACAGCUUGGGUGUAACUUUCCACUUGGAUGUUCACAGUGUUUGGGAUACAGGCACAGUGAGCAAUAGAGAUGCUCAGCAACCUGGGAGGAGCUGCUCUGCAAUCUGACUGCCAGCCCUGUGCUGUGGCCUCAGCUCAGCGCCUCCCCAGGGUGGGUGAGAUACGUCUGAGCCCCGAGUCCAAAGUUUUGGAUGAAACAGCUUUCCUCAAUUUGAUGCCUCAACCUGCAGUUUAAACCUCUAUCCCCACUGGCAGACCCUCAGCCAGUCCGGAGCUGCCUGCAGUCACUGUAAUAAUGCCAACCAGAGAAGCCUUAAUCCUUUAGUGAAGGAUAACUGCAGGUCUCUGCUUUUAUUCCAUCUGCUGAUCUAAGGGAAAAACCUCGUCCCCUUCAUGGCUGUUGAAGGAAGGGAAUCUGACUCAUAAAGAAACAUAAAGUGCAAUUGAGUUCCCACUUACUUCAGUGGAAGAAUUGAUGUGCCCAAGGUCAGAGAGAAAGUCGAUAGCGGAGCUGGGGAAAAGAAGCAGGAGUUUUGAAGCCAGUGCCUUUCAUGCAGCCACCAGACAGCCCUCCCUUUGCUGAGCGAUCCAAGCCCAAGGCCAAAUAAAUCUCCAGCGUAAUCCCAAUUGUCAGGAGGCAUGUGGUCUCCUGAGGCACCAGACGUGUGUGAGAACAUGGAGAUGAGAGCUUUGAUGUGCCUUUGAGAGAACACUGGAAGAAACAGAGCAGAUACGGGAACUUCUCCAAUGGGAUGAACAGCUCUGAGAAGCAGCCUGGAGGAUACAUACAUGAUGGACCAUGCACUCCUGAGCCUGGCACAGCCUUCGGGGAGGGAGAUGCUCUGGCAAUGGGGAUGCAGCCUCUGACACCACCUAAAACAUGGUGUGUCAGCUGCUUCGUAACACAGCUCUUCUUGUCCUCUAUGCAGAUCUGCUUUCCUGCAAAGAGAACAAAGACAUCGUUUGUCCAGAGAAAGGUUUCUUCCAUCAAGCUCAGACACAUCCUGAAAGAAGUGCAUGAAGACUUGCAUGAGUUGGUGAUUGUGGAGACACUAAAAAGGUGAUGCUCACCAUGUCCUCUCCUGUUGGAAGCAGUAGCCUCAAAAUCCGCCCCCUCACCACCAUCCAAAGCCUCAAGCUAAGUAAGAGCAAUGCCAGGGCAGAUGGCUGCACAGCAGGGCUCUCAGCGUCACUGCUCACUCUUCCCCUACAUGCCCUGUCCUGCUCAGCAGUUUUCCCAUGAACUUAUCUGAGCGGCACUCUUUGCUUUGUGCUAUGAAAAUCAAAGAUGAGGUGUCCUGAAUGAAAAGCUCACAGUUACCACGAGGUCUGCCUCUCAAUGCGCUGGGAAUAGAAAUGUGGCAAUCAGACUUUGGGAUGAAAUCAUAUUGGACAUGCUGGCUUAAUCUCUAAAGUAUGAAAUUGUAAGGAAGGAAUUACAGCUAAAAAACAUUUCACAUUUUAGAAAGCUUCUCUGACCCAUGCUGGAUCAGGAGAGAGAAGGAAAAGAGGGUAAAAAAAAAAAAAAACCAACAACCCCAAACCUGUGGAAUUCAAAUGACUGUAGCCAUUUGGGUUAGAAAAAAUCCAUCAUCAAAUAAACAGACUCCU
ensembl:lncRNA